GUGAGUGAUGAAGGUUUUCGGAUCGUAAAGCUCUGUUGUUAGGGAAGAACAAGUGCAAGAGUAACUGCUUGCACCUUGACGGUACCUAACCAGAAAGCCACGGCUAACUACGUGCCAGCAGCCGCGGUAAUACGUAGGUGGCAAGCGUUGUCCGGAAUUAUUGGGCGUAAAGGGCUCGCAGGCGGUUUCUUAAGUCUGAUGUGAAAGCCCCCGGCUCAACCGGGGAGGGUCAUUGGAAACUGGGAAACUUGAGUGCAGAAGAGGAGAGUGGAAUUCCACGUGUAGCGGUGAAAUGCGUAGAGAUGUGGAGGAACACCAGUGGCGAAGGCGACUCUCUGGUCUGUAACUGACGCUGAGGAGCGAAAGCGUGGGGAGCGAACAGGAUUAGAUACCCUGGUAGUCCACGCCGUAAACGAUGAGUGCUAAGUGUUAGGGGGUUUCCGCCCCUUAGUGCUGCAGCUAACGCAUUAAGCACUCCGCCUGGGGAGUACGGUCGCAAGACUGAAACUCAAAGGAAUUGACGGGGGCCCGCACAAGCGGUGGAGCAUGUGGUUUAAUUCGAAGCAACGCGAAGAACCUUACCAGGUCUUGACAUCCUCUGACAACCCUAGAGAUAGGGCUUUCCCUUCGGGGACAGAGUGACAGGUGGUGCAUGGUUGUGGUGAAAUGCGUAGAGAUGUGGAGGAACACCAGUGGCGAAGGCGACUCUCUGGUCUGUAACUGACGCUGAGGAGCGAAAGCGUGGGGAGCGAACAGGAUUAGAUACCCUGGUAGUCCACGCCGUAAACGAUGAGUGCUAAGUGUUAGGGGGUUUCCGCCCCUUAGUGCUGCAGCUAACGCAUUAAGCACUCCGCCUGGGGAGUACGGUCGCAAGACUGAAACUCAAAGGAAUUGACGGGGGCCCGCACAAGCGGUGGAGCAUGUGGUUUAAUUUGAAGCAACGCGAAGAACCUUACCAGGUCUUGACAUCCUCUGACAACCCUAGAGAUAGGGCUUUCCCUUCGGGGACAGAGUGACAGGUGGUGCAUGGUUGUCGUCAGCUCGUGUCGUGAGAUGUUGGGUUAAGUCCCGCAACGAGCGCAACCCUUGAUCUUAGUUGCCAGCAUUCAGUUGGGCACUCUAAGGUGACUGCCGGUGACAAACCGGAGGAAGGUGGGGAUGACGUCAAAUCAUCAUGCCCCUUAUGACCUGGGCUACACACGUGCUACAAUGGACAGAACAAAGGGCUGCAAGACCGCAAGGUUUAGCCAAUCCCAUAAAUCUGUUCUCAGUUCGGAUCGCAGUCUGCAACUCGACUGCGUGAAGCUGGAAUCGCUAGUAAUCGCGGAUCAGCAUGCCGCGGUGAAUACGUUCCCGGGCCUUGUACACACCGCCCGUCACACCACGAGAGUUUGCAACACCCGAAGUCGGUGAGGUAACCUUUAUGGAGCCAGCCGCCGAAGGUGGGCAAGAUU
rnacentral:rRNA from 1 species